CCUACGGGAGGCAGCAGUGGGGGAUAUUGCACAAUGGGGGAAACCCUGAUGCAGCGACGCCGCGUGAGGGAAGACGGUUUUCGGAUUGUAAACCUCUGUCUUUGGGGACGAAUUGAGACGGUACCCAAGGAGGAAGCUCUGGGUAACUACGUGCCAGCAGCCGCGGUAAUACGUAGGGCGCAAGCGUUGUCGGGAAUUACAGGGUGUAAAGGGAGCGUAGGCGGGAUAGUAAGUUGAUUGGUAAUACUCGCGGCUCAACUGGUAGAUGCGGUCCAAACUGCAACUCUAGAGUGAAGUAGAGGCAGGCGGAAUUCCGAGUGUAGCGGUGAAAUGCGUAGAUAUUAGGAGGAACACCAGUGGCGAAGGCAGCCUGCUGGGCUUUAACUGACGCUGAGGCUCGAAAGUGUGGGUAGCAAACAGGAUUAGAUACCCGAGUAGUC
rnacentral:rRNA from 1 species